GAUUGGACAGGUGGCACAGGUGUGGCACAGGUGAGAUGGGACAGGUGGCACAGGUGUGGCACAGGUGGCACAGGUGAGAUGGCACAGGUGGCACAGGUGAGAUGGCACAGGUGUGGCACAGGUGUGGCACAGGUGGCACAGGUGAGAUGGGACAGGUGACACAGGUGAGGGACAGGUGGCACAGGUGAGAUGGGACAGGUGGCACAGGUGAGAUGGCACAGGUGGCACAGGUGAGAUGGGACAGGUGGCACAGGUGUGGCACAGGUGAGAUGGGACAGGUGGCACAGGUGUGGGACAGGUGGCACAG